rnacentral:rRNA from 1 species
GAUGAACGCUGGCGGCGUGCUUAACACAUGCAAGUCGAACGAAGCAGCUCAUUACGAUCCCUUCGGGGUGACGAUUUGCUGACUGAGUGGCGGACGGGUGAGUAACGCGUGGGUAACCUACCUUGUACAGGGGGAUAACAGUUGGAAACGACUGCUAAUACCGAUAAGCGCACACGCUUCGCAUGAAGCAGUGUGAAAAGUUAUUCGGUAUAAGAUGGACCCGCGUUUGAUUAGCUAGUUGGUGAGGUAACGGCCCACCAAGGCAACGAUCAAUAGCCGACCUGAGAGGGUGACCGGCCACAUUGGGACUGAGACACGGCCCAAACUCCUACGGGAGGCAGCAGUGGCGAAUAUUGCACUAUGGGCGAAAGCCUGAUGCAGCGACGCCGCGUGAGCGAAGAAGUAUUUCGGUAUGUAAAGCUCUAUCAGCAGGGAAGAUAAUGACGGUACCUGACUAAGAAGCACCGGCUAAAUAGGUGCCAGCAGCCGGCGGUAAUACGUAUGGUGCAAGCGUUAUCCGGAUUUACUGGGUGUAAAGGGAGCGUAGGCGGUUUUACAAGUCUGAUGUGAAAGCCCGUGGCUCAACCACGGUAUUGCAUUGGAAACUGUAGAACUAGAGUGUCGGAGGGGUAAGUGGAAUUCCUAGUGUAGCGGUGAAAUGCGUAGAUAUUAGGAGGAACACCAGUGGCGAAGGCGGCUUACUGGACGAUUACUGACGCUGAGGCU